CCUGAGAAACCUAAAAGUUCGAAAAGAGAGAUUCAACGCUUGCAUGUACAGUAUUCACGUGAGUAGUGAUGAGAGUUAUAUUGGUUGAGUCAAAUCUAUCAAUAAAUACUUUCACAUUUUCAUGUUAUUUUAUUGCUGUACUAUUGUCGGCGUGCACUUCUCUCUUAGUAGGACGUCCCGACCCGUUGAGUCUUAGCCUACGGCCCAAAAGAUUGUCUUUAAUAUGAUUCAUAUUAAAAAUCUUUGGUGUUCUCCUGGCCUAAGUGCUCGACGGUAAUAACAAAACGAUUCGGUAUUAAGCCGCAAAUUUUAUUUGCGUCCGGCCUGUCGCAAGUUUAUUGACAAAUUCUGUAUUGGCAUAGACUUUGUGCUUGCUAUAUGGUUUUGUUGGCUGUUUGCAUGACUGUGCUUUUGGACCGGCUUAUCAUAUAUACCAGUCAGGGACGCUUAGGCUUUGGGUACUCUCAGGACCCGUCUUGAAACACGGACCAAGGAGUCUAACAUGUACGCGAGUCAUUGGGUAUAUAUUUUCUUUCGGGAAUUUAUAUAAAACAAACCUAAAGGCGAAAUAAAAGUAAAGGUCAAA
rnacentral:rRNA from 1 species